rnacentral:tRNA from 1 species
GGAAGGGUGGCAGAGUGGCCGAAUGCACCGGUCUUGAAAACCGGCAAUGGGAAACCAUUCGUGGGUUCAAAUCCCACCCCUUCCGCCA